rnacentral:rRNA from 1 species
UAAGGUGGUUAUAGUACCGGGGUUCCACCUCUACCCUUCCCGAACAGAGAAGUUAAGCCCGGUCACGCCGAUGGUACUGCAUUUAUGUGGGAGAGUAGGUAGCUGCCAGUU